GGAUGCACACGAGUUUGGAAAACUUGUUCUGUUUCAAAACUUGGAUCCAACUUACUCUUCAGCAGAAGUGGAGGAUAUAGUUUGGAAUGCCUUCAAUGAAACUUGCAGAGCAAAGAUGGUGCAGCAGACUACAUUGCAUUUUUUAUUACCUUGCAAUCUGUAUAGUCAUAGGCAGGUUUAACUAGUCAGCCUGUUUCUCAUAUGUAUUAUUUAUUUUAGUUUUUAUUCUAAAUUUUUAUUUUUACUUUAAUAUUUACGACAAUUUGAGUUCUAACUUUUAGAUUUUAAUUGUGUUAUUAAUUUAUUAUUUUCAAUUCUAAAACUAAAUUCAUUAAUUUUUA